rnacentral:rRNA from 1 species
UACUGAGGAUGCGAGCGUUAUCCGGAUUUAUUGGGUUUAAAGGGUGCGCAGGCGGAUUUUUAAGUCAGCGGUCAAAUCGUGGGGCUCAACCCCAUCCAGCCGUUGAAACUGGGGAUCUAGAGUGUGCGAGAGGUAUGCGGAAUGCGUGGUGUAGCGGUGAAAUGCAUAGAUAUCACGCAGAACCCCGAUUGCGAAGGCAGCAUACCGGUGCACAACUGACGCUCAGGCACGAAAGCGUGGGUAUCGAACAGG